UUCACGGAGAGUUUGAUCCUGGCUCAGGACGAACGCUGGCGGCGUGCUUAACACAUGCAAGUGGAGCGACGAACCAGGGGCUUGCCCCUGGGGCAGAGCCGCGAACGGGUGAGU
rnacentral:rRNA from 1 species